AGUGAACGCUGGCGGUAGGCCUAACACAUGCAAGUCGAACGGCAGCACAGUAAGAGCUUGCUCUUACGGGUGGCGAGUGGCGAACGGGUGAGGAAUACAUCGGAAUCUACUUUUUCGUGGGGGAUAACGUAGGGAAACUUACGCUAAUACCGCAUACGACCUACGGGUGAAAGCAGGGGAUCUUCGGACCUUGCGCGAUUGAAUGAGCCGAUGUCGGAUUAGCUAGUUGGCGGGGUAAAGGCCCACCAAGGCGACGAUCCGUAGCUGGUCUAAGAGGAUGAUCAGCCACACUGGAACUGAGACACGGUCCAGACUCCUACGGGAGGCAGCAGUGGGGAAUAUUGGACAAUGGGCGCAAGCCUGAUCCAGCCAUACCGCGUGGGUGAAGAAGGCCUUCGGGUUGUAAAGCCCUUUUGUUGGGAAAGAAAAGCAGCAGGUUAAUACCCCGCUGUUCUGACGGUACCCAAAGAAUAAGCACCGGCUAACUUCGUG
rnacentral:rRNA from 1 species